CCCUUAGAUGUUCUGGGCCGCACGCGUGCUACACUGAGUAAAUCAAUGGGUAAGGGAACACGAAAGUGCAACCUAAUCUUGAAAUUUGCUCGUGAUGGGGAUCGACGGUUGCAAUUUUCCGUCGUGAACGAGGAAUACCUUGUAGGCGCAUGUCAUCAUCACGCGCCGAAUACGUCCCUGCCCUUUGUACACACCGCCCGUCGCUCCUACCGAUUGAGUGAUCCGGUGAGGCUCUGGGACCUGGACGGAAAGAGCGUUUCGCUUGUUCUGUUUGGGAAACUUGGUCGAACCUUAUCAUUUAGAGGAAGGAGAAGUCGUAACA
rnacentral:rRNA from 1 species